AUGCAGUUAUCAAGUGGAAUAGGAAUGGGAAUCCAGGUCUGUCUGACAACAAAUCCCUUUUCUACUAGAUCACCCUGUCUUUGUUGUCUUUAUAGCUUGUGUUGCUCCAGAGCCCACACCCUGGGAGUACCAAUAUUAGUGAAGGAAGAGAUGAUGAGGACAACAAUCCCAUCCUUUGUUGGGGAUAAUAACAGAGGGGGCAGAUUAAUUACUGGCUGGCUAUUCCUGUUCCAAAUAUGUGGAGUGCUAAAAAUGCAUGACUGAUCCUUCAUCCUCAGCAGGUUUGUCUCAGACCCUUGGAAUCUUGAAACAUGUCUCCGUGUGUCUGUGUUUGCCCACCACCUCCUCCUCCUCCUCCUCUCCUCCUCUUGGGGCUUCGUGGGUA
rnacentral:lncRNA from 1 species